AGGAUAAUACCUUGGAAAGAGAAGACUGUAAAGGGCCUUUACGUGAUUUGAUUUUUAAGGAACAAAAAAUCUGGAUUCAGAAAUGUAAGCUCCAAUGGCUUCAUGAGAGGGAGGAGAGCUCUAGUUUCUUCCACGUAUGGGUUUUGACCCAUAAAGGUAAAAGUAUUAUUUCUUGGUUGAUGAGAGCUUUAGUAACUAAGAAGGAGAUUAUGAAUGAGAUCCUUAGCUUCUUUUCAAGCUUGUAUGGCACCAAGACUUCUUCAUUCAUUUGUGAUGGUCCGAUUGGAAAACCCUUAGUUUACAUGUUUCUAACUCUCUUGAGGCCCCCUUUGGUGAAAAAAGAGAUUAGGGAGGUUGUUUUUGAGAUGGGUUGUCUCAAGUCUCCUAGACCAGAUGGUAUGAUUGAAGAGUUUUAUAAAAAAUCUUAGAACAUUUUGAAAGUUGAUUUAGCAAGGUUGUUCCAAGAUUUUUUUUAAAAAAUGGAAUCAUUAACCGAAGAUGCAAUGAAACUUAUGUUUGUCUCAUCUCGAAAAAGAAAGAGGUGGCCUGUGUUAGUGAUUUCAAACCUAUAAUUAGCUUAAUUAUCUCAUUGUAUAAAAUUAUCUCUAAGGUGCUUGGAGCAUAACUUAAAAAAGUCUUUCCUCAAUUAUUAAUGAUACUCAAAUGACUUUGGUGGAAUGGAGGCAAAUUCUAGAUGCUAUUUUGAUUGCUUCGGAGGCCAUUGAUAAGUGGUAUUUAAAAGGCAUAAAAAGAGUCUUGUUGAAGCUUGAUCUGAAAAAAGCCUAUGAGAAGGUGGAUUAGUCUUUUCUUGACAUUUCUAUGAAACUUAACAGGCUUUGGUAAAAAAUGAAGGAGAUAGACUUGAGGAUGCUUGUCGACGACUAACUUCUCAAUCAUUGUCAAUGGUAGGCCUAGGGGAAAGAUUUUUUUUAAUUUAUAAAAAAGGCAUUCAUCAGGAUGAUCCACUCGCCUUUUUUCUUUUUACAAUUGUGGGAGAUGACCUUAGUUGCUUUAUUCACUACUGUAACGAGAAAAUGACUAUAAGAGGCUUUCAGUUGAUAAUAUGUCAGGUGACCUUAUCCAUCUUCAAUACGCAGAUGAUACUCUUCUCUUCUCUUCUUGGGAGAAUGAAAAUUUGGAGACUUGAUGGAAGGUGAUCAAUCUCUUUCUUUUAGGAGUUGGGUUAUCCCUUAAUAGCUCAAAAACAUCAUUAAUCAGUAUUAACUUUGAUAGCGUCGAUCUGGCCCCUUAAGCUAGUACUUUGGGUUGCAUGGUGGAUAACGUCCCCUUUAACUAUUUGGGCUUCUCUAUAGAAGAGGGUCGUAAUAGGAAAGAGGUUUGGAACAUCCUUGAAGAGCGAUUCAAAUAUAAAACUGACAGAUGGAGGAAUGUGUCUCUUUCCAAAGGUGGCAGAUUAACUCUUGUGUAAUCAAUUUUGAAUAGUCUUCCUUGUUAUUUGUUUUUCCUUGUACAAGUUCUGGUUGGUGUUAUCAAUAGAUUGGAAAGGAUGAUAAAUUUUUUUGUUUGGAUAGGGGCCCUACGAACUCGGCUGCUCACCUUGUCAAAUGGAGUGUACUUUUCACCCAAUUUGUUAUGGUGGUCUCAGGAUUGACUUUUUUAGGCAUAAAAACAAUGCCCUUCUCACUAAAUGGCUCUGGAGAUUUAGUCAGAAAGACAGUGGGUUAUGAAGACACUUAAUUGUGGCUAUUUACGUAUUAGAGGAGAAUGAGUAGUUUAUUAAAGCUCCGAACAUGGGGGUCUUAUAGAUUAUGGGCUGGCAUUUUGAAACAUAAAGUGACUUUCCUUAAUUUUUCGCCUGUUUUGUUGGGUAAGGGAACAAAAAUCAAAAUUUGGAAGGUCAGUUGGUUUUGGCAGAAACUUUCCCUAGUUUGUUCUCUUUGUCGCUGAACAAUGAUGCUCUUGUUGUGUAAUGUUAGUUGUUCUUGGAAUUUGGGUCUUAGAAGAAACUUGCUUGAUAAUGAACUUGACAGCGUGGUCACCAUUCUAGAAAUUCUUCAUUCUUGGGCCCCUUCAGACGAUCGUGAUAGUUUUAAAUUAAUGCUAAUAGCAGCUUUACUACAAAGUCUAUCUUUCUUAAAUUAACCAAGAGAUCUCCCUCCAUUGCUGCUCCCUCGAUUCAUCACAUUUAGAAGACUAAAAUCUCGAAAAAGGUGAAAUUCUUCUUAUGGUCACUUGCAUAUAGAAGUCUCAACACUCGAGAGAAUUUUUAUAAAAAAAGUUCUAGCACACCAUACUCAGCCCCUCGAUGUGCUACAUUUGUUUCAAAGAUAAAAAAGGCCAUGAACCACUUAUUUUUGCAUUGCACUUUCACUAAGAAAGCUUGGUACACUCUAUUUAGAAUCUUUAACAUGGAGGUUUGUCUUCCUAGAAAGAUUGGCAGUUGGAUGUUGGAAGGGCUUAAAAUUAGAGGCUUUAGUCUGAAAGGUCACAUCUUGUGGAGUUGUGCUACUUGUUCCCUUUUGUGAUGUAUUUGGAAAGAAACGAACAAUAGAAUUUUUUAAGACAAUUAUAAUUCUUUUGAUUCUUUUGAACUGUGUUGCAACACAAACUUCUUGGUGGAGUACGAAUUACACCAAACACUUUUGUAAUUAUAGUCUUUUUAUGAUUUUCAACAUUGAAAGACCCUUAUACUUUAGUUUCUCUUGGGAAGGGCUCUCUUGUCCCUUGCCAUUUAUCUUUUGCUCAUUGAAUAUAUUUGUUUCUUAUAAAAAAACCUAAAAGAUACAUAGAUCAGACCACAAAACAAUUAGUUUCUAUUUAUAACACUAUUGCUUGAAGGAACUAAUUUUUCACUAGGAUGACCAUAUGAGACUUAACCUUAAUCCUAAGUGAGUUGUGAACUCUUGUUUAUGAUAGCAGUUUUUUGAUUUGUAUGAGUGAGAGUGAUUCAACAACCCUACUACUUUAGGGAUUUGUUUGAGUGAAGAGCCGAGACCAUAACUACACAAUACGAAAUCACUCAUCCCCAUUCCCAUUCCUUGGGAUAAUAAAUAAAUUGCUUACUUAAUAGCUAAUUUUGAGCCUUAAACAAUAAAGCCUCCACCUCAAUCUCUCACUGGUUCGAGAAGUGUUAGUUUAUAGUUGGACUAUAAACUAUUUGUUCAUUAGAGAAAUCGAUUCCGUUUAAGGAGUUUGAAAUAACUAUAAGGGUAAAAUGAUAAUUUGACCCAAUUGUAGUUAUAAGCGAUUUGUUAAGAGUCAACUCAAGAUUGAUUGGUUAUAUUCGUGGACAUGAAAAUAUAUUUACAAUGCGAAGAGUAGAACUUCUAUCUUUAGUGUGCCCAUGCGGAAGGAUCAAUUGUACAAAUUCCCCCGGAAGCAUAAACCAUACGGAAAUACUAACUCGGUCAUGAAGGCAAUUGGACUGAAAAAAUCAGAUGCUGCAAAAUCAUAAUCUAGUUUAAAUCAUGAUAGACAAUACUUUUGAUUUUCUUUCAACUUUUUUAUCAAGGUUGAGCGAUUUGUACGCAUGAAAAGAGUUGGUACAAGUGUAAGAUCUUCCAUAAAUGUAAAGAUUACUUCUCCCAAGUGUUGUGAUGGAUAUUAUAUGAUUAUAUCAUAGUAGAUGUUAAAGAUAAAUUUGAUGUUUACACUUCAUAAAUUUGAUUUACAUAAUUUUGAAUCAUUGACAGCAAAACUAUUCCACAACUAACAGAUUGUUUUCCAUCAAACCUUCGCCAACAGUGGGAAAUUCUGUUGAUAGCUGCCAUUCUCCAUCCACUAGGAACUUGAUUUCGUACCUUCAUAUAUAUUACAGAAACAACAGCAAAAGAAAUAAUGUUCUAUGUAACACAAAUUAAUACACAUAAUAGAUCAAUCAUCAACCAAUGAUUCCCAUGAUUAGAAUAAUAAGGUCAUGAAGGUAGUCAUUUGAUCAGUAAAUCAAGAAAAUCAAGAGGAGAGGAAGGCAAGGGAGAGGAAUUAUACCUCCCAGGUCUAAGCCUUAAAGUUGUCGAGAACUUAGAGUAAGCCCCAGUGUAUUCAGGUGAUAAAUCCUCCCCUACACUCCAGCCAUCAAAAGUUCCCAUAACUUGCACAUUCUAUUAAAAAAUGAAGAUAAAAUUAUAAGAAUGAUAGCGAUGAUGAAAGAAAGAAACUUAAGAGUUAAGAUAAAAUCAGACCUAGUUGUUUUUGUUCUCAAAAUAAUCCGGCGGUAGGGAUUCGAACAUUUCACAUUUAGGAAAAUUGUAAAAGUCAAAUGUUAGAAUUUAGAAAGCUGGUCUCCUUUCCGAUAUAGAGAAAAUUGCAAAAAAUAUUGUUAAAAUUAUCAAUCAACUUAAGCUUAACUUAAAAGCUUAAGUUGAUCGGUUACAGCGAAUUUAAUUAUAUCAAUACUUCAACAAAUUUAAUUAUAUCAAUACUUCAACAAAAAUAGAAUUUGCUUUUAUUACCUCAGCCAUUCCAUACCAGAAUAGUGGAACUUCUUUUGAUUGCACCAAAUCUACAUCUUUUAUUUGAUCCAUUAUCUUUUUGUGUACAGCUUCAAAGAAAAAGAAGAGUCCAACAAGUAACAAGUCAACGAUACAUUUUUGAGUAAUAACGGAGAACUUUCAUGGAGGGCAGCACACAUAAUCUCA
rnacentral:lncRNA from 1 species